UACAGAGACUGCAAGCGUUAUUCGGAUUCACUGGGCGUAAAGGGUGCGCAGGCGGCCAAGUGUGUGAGGCGUGAAAGCCCGGGGCUUAACCCCGGAAUUGCACCUCAAACUACAUGGCUAGAGCAUUGGAGAGGGUAGCAGAAUUCAUGGUGUAGCAGUGAAAUGCGUAGAGAUCAUGAGGAAGACCAGUGGCGAAGGCGGGUCUCUGGACAGUUCCUGACACUGAGACACGAAGGCCAGGGGAGCAAACGGG
rnacentral:rRNA from 1 species